CGGCGAACGGGUGAGUAACGCGUGGAUUAUCUGCCCUGAGGUGGGGGAUAACCCGGGGAAACUCGGGCUAAUACCGCAUAUGACCGUGAGGUCAAAGGGGGUCGCAAGAUCUCUCGCCAUAGGAGGAGUCCGCGUCCGAUUAGCUAGUUGGUAGGGUAAUGGCCUACCAAGGCGACGAUCGGUAGCCGGCCUGAGAGGGUGAUCGGCCACACUGGAACUGAGACACGGCCCAG
rnacentral:rRNA from 1 species